rnacentral:tRNA from 1 species
NCCUGGCUAGCUCAGUUGGUAGAGCAUCAUACUUUUAAUCUGAGGGCCAGGGCUCAAGUUCCUGGUCAGGCA